GAUGAAGAACGUAGCGAAAUGCGAUAAGUAAUGUGAAUUGCAGAAUUCAGUGAAUCAUCGAAUCUUUGAACGCACAUUGCGCCCUCUGGUAUUCCGGAGGGCAUGCCUGUUCGAGCGUCAUUUCAACCCUCAAGCAUUGCUUGGUGUUGGGGCACCGCCUGUAAAAGGGCGGGCCCUGAAAUCUAGUGGCGAGCUCGCCAGGACCCCGAGCGUAGUAAUUAUAUUUCGUUCUGGAAGGCCCUGGCGGUGCCCUGCCGUUAACCCCCCAACUUCUGAAAAUUUGACCUCGGAUCAGGUAGGAAUACCCGCUGAACUUAAGCGUAUCAAUAAGCGGAGGA
rnacentral:misc_RNA from 1 species